GUCCUGUUGAGAAUAAUUUCAGGUYUGGCCUGCCCACUGAGUAAUUAAAUGGCCGCGGUAUUUUGACCGUGCAAAGGUAGCAUAAUCACUAGUUUUUUAAAUGAAAGCUUGUAUGAAAGGUUUGAUGAAAAAUUAUCUGUCUCUAUUUAAGUUUUAUAGAAUUUUAUUUUUAAGUAAAAAAGCUUAAAUAAUCAUAAAAGACGAGAAGACCCUAUAGAGUUUUAUAUAUGUGCUUGUAGUGAUAAGUUUAGAAUGAAUAGUUAUAUAAGAGUAUGUAUUUUGUUGGGGUGAUAGGAAAAUUAAUUAAACUUUUCUUAUUUUGGAACAUUUAUUUAUGAGUUUUUGAUCCUUUCUAGAGAUAAUAAGACAGAAUUACCUUAGGGAUAACAGCGUAAUUUUUUUUUAGAGUUCAAAUUAAAAAAAGAGAUUGCGACCUCGAUGUUGGAUUAAAAUUUAUUGUUGGUGCAGAGGCUAACAAAUUAGGUCUGUUCGACCUUUAAAAUUUUACAUGAUCUGAGUUUARACCGGCGUAAGCCAGGUYGGUUCUAUCUA
rnacentral:rRNA from 1 species